rnacentral:rRNA from 1 species
UACGAAGGGGGCUAGCGUUGUUCGGAAUCACUGGGCGUAAAGCGCACGUAGGCGGAUCUUUAAGUCAGGGGUGAAAUCCCGAGGCUCAACCUCGGAACUGCCUUUGAUACUGGGGAUCUCGAGUCCGGGAGAGGUGAGUGGAACUGCGAGUGUAGAGGUGAAAUUCGUAGAUAUUCGCAAGAACACCAGUGGCGAAGGCGGCUCACUGGCCCGGAACUGACACUGAGGCACGAAAGCGUGGGGAGCAAACAGG